rnacentral:rRNA from 1 species
GGGUCAGUAGGGUGGUCGUGCCACCGGUACGUACUGGUCUCACUGAUUCCUCCUUCCCGAAGAACCGUAAUGCCAUUAAUUUGGUGUUGCGGGGAAACAGGACUGUUACUUUGAAAAAAUUAGAGUGUUUAAAGCAAGCUAACGCUUGAAUACAUUAGCAUGGAAUAAUGAAAUAGGACGAUCGAUCAUAUUUUGUUGGUUUCUAGGAUUGACGUA